UACGUAGGGUGCGAGCGUUGUCCGGAAUUAUUGGGCGUAAAGAGCUCGUAGGCGGUGUGUCACGUCGUUCGUGAAAACCUGCAGCUUAACUGUGGGCGUGCGGUCGAUACGGGCAUCACUGGAGUUCGGCAGGGGAGACUGGAAUUCCUGGUGUAGCGGUGAAAUGCGCAGAUAUCAGGAGGAACACCGGUGGCGAAGGCGGGUCUCUGGGCCGAUACUGACGCUGAGGGACGAAAGCUAGGGGAGCGAAUGGG
rnacentral:rRNA from 1 species